AGCGUACACGGUGGAUGCCCUGGCAGUCAGAGGCGAUGAAGGACGUGCUAAUCUGCGAUAAGCGUCGGUAAGGUGAUAUGAACCGUUAUAACCGGCGAUUUCCGAAUGGGGAAACCCAGUGUGUUUCGACACACUAUCAUUAACUGAAUCCAUAGGUUAAUGAGGCGAACCGGGGGAACUGAAACAUCUAAGUACCCCGAGGAAAAGAAAUCAACCGAGAUUCCCCCAGUAGCGGCGAGCGAACGGGGAGCAGCCCAGAGCCUGAAUCAGUGUGUGUGUUAGUGGAAGCGUCUGGAAAGGCGCGCGAUACAGGGUGACAGCCCCGUACACAAAAAUGCACAUGCUGUGAGCUCGAUGAGUAGGGCGGGACACGUGGUAUCCUGUCUGAAUAUGGGGGGACCAUCCUCCAAGGCUAAAUACUCCUGACUGACCGAUAGUGAACCAGUACCGUGAGGGAAAGGCGAAAAGAACCCCGGCGAGGGGAGUGAAAAAGAACCUGAAACCGUGUACGUACAAGCAGUGGGAGCACGCUUAGGCGUGUGACUGCGUACCUUUUGUAUAAUGGGUCAGCGACUUAUAUUCUGUAGCAAGGUUAACCGAAUAGGGGAGCCGAAGGGAAACCGAGUCUUAACUGGGCGUUAAGUUGCAGGGUAUAGACCCGAAACCCGGUGAUCUAGCCAUGGGCAGGUUGAAGGUUGGGUAACACUAACUGGAGGACCGAACCGACUAAUGUUGAAAAAUUAGCGGAUGACUUGUGGCUGGGGGUGAAAGGCCAAUCAAACCGGGAGAUAGCUGGUUCUCCCCGAAAGCUAUUUAGGUAGCGCCUCGUGAAUUCAUCUCCGGGGGUAGAGCACUGUUUCGGCAAGGGGGUCAUCCCGACUUACCAACCCGAUGCAAACUGCGAAUACCGGAGAAUGUUAUCACGGGAGACACACGGCGGGUGCUAACGUCCGUCGUGAAGAGGGAAACAACCCAGACCGCCAGCUAAGGUCCCAAAGUCAUGGUUAAGUGGGAAACGAUGUGGGAAGGCCCAGACAGCCAGGAUGUUGGCUUAGAAGCAGCCAUCAUUUAAAGAAAGCGUAAUAGCUCACUGGUCGAGUCGGCCUGCGCGGAAGAUGUAACGGGGCUAAACCAUGCACCGAAGCUGCGGCAGCGACACUAUGUGUUGUUGGGUAGGGGAGCGUUCUGUAAGCCUGCGAAGGUGUACUGUGAGGUAUGCUGGAGGUAUCAGAAGUGCGAAUGCUGACAUAAGUAACGAUAAAGCGGGUGAAAAGCCCGCUCGCCGGAAGACCAAGGGUUCCUGUCCAACGUUAAUCGGGGCAGGGUGAGUCGACCCCUAAGGCGAGGCCGAAAGGCGUAGUCGAUGGGAAACAGGUUAAUAUUCCUGUACUUGGUGUUACUGCGAAGGGGGGACGGAGAAGGCUAUGUUAGCCGGGCGACGGUUGUCCCGGUUUAAGCAUGUAGGCGGAGGUUCCAGGUAAAUCCGGUACCUUUUUAACGCUGAGGUGUGAUGACGAGGCACUACGGUGCUGAAGUAACAAAUGCCCUGCUUCCAGGAAAAGCCUCUAAGCAUCAGGUAACAUUGAAUCGUACCCCAAACCGACACAGGUGGUCAGGUAGAGAAUACCAAGGCGCUUGAGAGAACUCGGGUGAAGGAACUAGGCAAAAUGGUGCCGUAACUUCGGGAGAAGGCACGCUGAUAUGUAGGUGAAGCGACUUGCUCGUGGAGCUGAAAUCAGUCGAAGAUACCAGCUGGCUGCAACUGUUUAUUAAAAACACAGCACUGUGCAAACACGAAAGUGGACGUAUACGGUGUGACGCCUGCCCGGUGCCGGAAGGUUAAUUGAUGGGGUUAGCGGUAACGAGAAGCUCUUGAUCGAAGCCCCGGUAAACGGCGGCCGUAACUAUAACGGUCCUAAGGUAGCGAAAUUCCUUGUCGGGUAAGUUCCGACCUGCACGAAUGGCGUAAUGAUGGCCAGGCUGUCUCCACCCGAGACUCAGUGAAAUUGAACUCGCUGUGAAGAUGCAGUGUACCCGCGGCAAGACGGAAAGACCCCGUGAACCUUUACUAUAGCUUGACACUGAACAUUGAGCCUUGAUGUGUAGGAUAGGUGGGAGGCUUUGAAGUGUGGACGCCAGUCUGCAUGGAGCCGACCUUGAAAUACCACCCUUUAAUGUUUGAUGUUCUAACGUUGGCCCCUGAUCGGGGUUGCGGACAGUGUCUGGUGGGUAGUUUGACUGGGGCGGUCUCCUCCUAAAGAGUAACGGAGGAGCACGAAGGUUGGCUAAUCCUGGUCGGACAUCAGGAGGUUAGUGCAAUGGCAUAAGCCAGCUUGACUGCGAGCGUGACGGCGCGAGCAGGUGCGAAAGCAGGUCAUAGUGAUCCGGUGGUUCUGAAUGGAAGGGCCAUCGCUCAACGGAUAAAAGGUACUCCGGGGAUAACAGGCUGAUACCGCCCAAGAGUUCAUAUCGACGGCGGUGUUUGGCACCUCGAUGUCGGCUCAUCACAUCCUGGGGCUGAAGUAGGUCCCAAGGGUAUGGCUGUUCGCCAUUUAAAGUGGUACGCGAGCUGGGUUUAGAACGUCGUGAGACAGUUCGGUCCCUAUCUGCCGUGGGCGCUGGAGAACUGAGGGGGGCUGCUCCUAGUACGAGAGGACCGGAGUGGACGCAUCACUGGUGUUCGGGUUGUCAUGCCAAUGGCACUGCCCGGUAGCUAAAUGCGGAAGAGAUAAGUGCUGAAAGCAUCUAAGCACGAAACUUGCCCCGAGAUGAGUUCUCCCUGACUCCUUGA
rnacentral:rRNA from 1 species